GUUUUAGUAGUGUAGUCUACAUCACGUGCGCCUAAAACGCGCAAGAUCUCCAGUUCGAUCUUGGGCGGAAACA